AAACUUGAGAGUUUGAUCAUGGCUCAGAACGUACGCUGGCGGCACGCCUAAUACAUGCAAGUCGAACGAAGUAGCAAUACUUAGUGGCAGACGGGUGAGUAACAUGUAGGUAUCUUCCCAUUGGUGAGGAAUAACACGAGGAAACUUGUGCUAAUACCUCAUAAGUCUUUACGGAGAAAGCUUUAUGCGCCGAUGGAUGAGCCUGCACUUGAUUAGUUUGUUGGUAGGGUAAUGGCCUACCAAGACAAUGAUCAAUAGCUGAUUUGAGAGGAUGAUCAGCCACAUUGGGACUGAGACACGGCCCAAACUCCUACGGGAGGCAGCAGUAGGGAAUCUUGCACAAUGGGGGAAACCCUGAUGCAGCGAUGCCGCGUGAGUGAAGAAGGCCUUUGGGUUGUAAAGCUCUUUCGUCGGGGAAGAAAAUGACUGUACCCGAAUAAGAAGGUCCGGCUAACUUCGUGCCAGCAGCCGCGGUAAUACGAAGGGACCUAGCGUAGUUCGGAAUUACUGGGCUUAAAGAGUUCGUAGGUGGUUAAAAAAGUUGGUGGUGAAAUCCCAGAGCUUAACUCUGGAACUGCCAUCAAAACUUUUUAGCUAGAGUAUGAUAGAGGAAAGCAGAAUUUCUAGUGUAGAGGUGAAAUUCGUAGAUAUUAGAAAGAAUACCAAUUGCGAAGGCAGCUUUCUGGAUCAUUACUGACACUGAGGAACGAAAGCAUGGGUAGCGAAGAGGAUUAGAUACCCUCGUAGUCCAUGCCGUAAACGAUGUGUGUUAGACGUUGGAAAUUUAUUUUCUGUGUCGCAGCGAAAGCAAUAAACACACCGCCUGGGGAGUACGACCGCAAGGUUAAAACUCAAAUGAAUUGACGGGGACCCGCACAAGUAGUGGAGCAUGUGGUUUAAUUCGAAGAUACGCGCAGAACCUUACCAACACUUGACAUGUUCGUCGCGACUUUAAGAGAUUAAAGUUUUCGGUUCGGCCGGACGAAACACAGGUGCUGCAUGGCUGUCGUCAGCUCGUGUCGUGAGAUGUUGGGUUAAGUCCCGCAACGAGCGCAACCCUCACUUUUAGUUGCCAUCAUUUAGUUGGGCACUCUGAAAGAACUGCCAGUGAUAAGCUGGAGGAAGGUGGGGAUGACGUCAAGUCCUCAUGGCCCUUACGUGUUGGGCUACACACGUGCUACAAUGGCAUUUACAAUAGGAAGCAAGACGGCGACGUUAAGCAAAUCCUAAAAAAAUGCCUCAGUUCGGAUUGUACUCUGCAACUCGAGUACAUGAAGCUGGAAUUACUAGUAAUCGCGGAUCAGCGCGCCGCGGUGAAUACGUUCCCGGGUCUUGUACACACCGCCCGUCACACCAUGGGAGUUGGUUCUACCUUAAGGCAAAGUUUAAUACCUUUGACCACGGUAUAGUCAGCGACUGGGGUGAAGUCGUAACAAGGUAGCCGUAGGGGAACCUGCGGCUGGAUUACCUCCUUU
rnacentral:rRNA from 1 species